rnacentral:rRNA from 1 species
GACGAACGCUGGCGGCGUGCUUAACACAUGCAAGUCGAACGGAAAGGCCCUGCUUUUGUGGGGUGCUCGAGUGGCGAACGGGUGAGUAACACGCGAGUAACCUGCCCUUGACUUUGGGAUAACUUCAGGAAACUGGGGCUCAUACCGGAUAGGAGCUCCUGCUGCAUGGUGGGGGUUGGAAAGUUUCGGCGGUUGGGGAUGGACUCGCGGCUUAUCAGCUUGUUGGUGGGGUAGUGGCUUACCAAGGCUUUGACGGGUAGCCGGCCUGAGAGGGUGACCGGCCACAAUGGGACUGAGAUACGGACCAGACUCCUACGGGAGGCAGCAGUGGGAAAUAUUGCACAAUGGGGGGAAGCCUGAUGCAGCAACGCCGCGUGCGGGAUGACGGCCUUCGGGUUGUAAACCGCUUUCGCCUGUGACGAGGCGUGAGUGACGGUAAUGGGUAAAGAAGCACCGGCUAACUACGUG